GCUAGAAUAGAUCAGUUGGUUAGAGUGUGUGUCUAUUAACCCUAAGGUUGGAGGUUUAAAUCCUCUUUAAAGUG
rnacentral:tRNA from 1 species